rnacentral:misc_RNA from 1 species
AGCAGCCGCGGUAAUUCCAGCUCCAAUAGCGUAUAUUAAAGUUGUUGCAGUUAAAAGCUCGUAGUUGAAUUUCGGGAUCAAUAUGUUGGUCGUGCCUCGGUACGUACUAGCUUAUUGGUUUCUCCUUUCUGAAGAACCAUGAUGUCAUUUAUUUGGUGUCGUGGGGAAUCAGGACUGUUACUUUGAAAAAUUAGAGUGUUUAAAGCAGGCUCACGCUUGAAUACAUUAGCAUGGAAUAAUGAAAUAGGACGUUUGAUUCUAUUUUGUUGGUUUCUAGGAUCGACGUAAUGAUUAAUAGGGAUAGUUGGGGGCAUUAGUAUUCAAUUGUCAGAGGUGAAAUUCUUGGAUUUAUUGAAGACUAACUACUGCGAAAGCAUUUGCCAAGGAUGUUUUCAUUAAUCAAGAACGAAAGUUAGGGAUCGAAGACGAUCAGAUACCGUCGUAGUCUUAACCAUAAACUAUAGCCGACUAGGGAUCGGGAUGAUUGUUAAUUUUUUAAUGUACUUCAUUCGGGCGCCUU